rnacentral:misc_RNA from 1 species
UGAUGGGCUGCAACCUCAUAGAAACCUAAAAAAGCUCUCUGUAAUGGGCUAUGCUGGUACAACAUUUCCAUCAUGGAUUGGAGACUCUUUGUUCCAUAAUCUGGAGUUUCUAAGGUUAGAGAAUUGCAAGAAAUGCGCAUCCUUGCCACUUCUUGGGUUGCUACCUUCUCUCAAAGAACUCGUUGUCAAAGGGAUGUCUAGUAUAAAAAGGAUUGAUCAUGAAUUUUGUGGGGAGAGUUACUUAAAUACUUUUCCAACUCUUGAGACUCUACGCUUUAUGAAUAUGCCGGAGUGGGAAGACUGGAAUACAAGUGGACUUGAAUUCCCUUGUUUGCAAGAGCUUGCCAUUGAAGAUUGUCCCAAACUAUCAGGAAAAUUACCUAACCAUCUUCCUUUGCUAAAAAAGCUUGUGAUAAGAGAAUGUGAGCAGUUUGUUGUUUUACUUCCAAGUCUCCCAGUGGUCUCUGUGUUGGAAAUUGAAAGAUGCAAAGAGGUGGAUUGUGGAUGUAUAGUUGAAUUUGGCUCACUAAAUUCUAUGGUACUUUCAGAAAUUUCAAAGUUCUCGUUUCUUUCUAAGGGGUUCAUCCAGGGUUUAAAAAAGGCCAAAGAUUUGAGUGUUAUUGGAGAUCCAUUUCCUUCUCUACCAUCUUUUGUUUUCAAUGUUGAGGAAGAAAAAGAGGAGAUGCUGCCACAGGAGCCAACAGGUAGUCAACUUGAAACACUGAAAUUAACUAAUUGUGAAAGCCUGCUGCCCUACUGGUCUCUCAAUCUCAUGUGCAUUAGGGAGCUGACAAUUGAAGACUGCCCAAGACUUGUUUCCUUUCCAGAAGCUGGUUUUCCUUCUACACUGAGAGUGCUUGAGAUUAGCAACUGCAAUUCCCUAGCUUCAUUCCCUGAUGCCAUGACUUACAAUAGUGUGUAUCUUGAAGAACUGCGAAUUGAAAGGUGUAAUCUCCUGAUGUCCCUUGGAAGGGGCCAGCUACCUCCAACUCUAAAACGUCUGAUGAUAAAAUUUUGCCAUAAUUUGCAAAGCUUGCUUUAUGAGGCUGAGGAUGAGGAUGAGGAGAGUUUCAGUUCUUGUGGAAACACAUUUAGUCUUGACCUUCUGUCAAUUGAGGCAUGCCCAUCUCUUACAUUGUUAUCCUCAAGAGGCGGGUUACCUUCUUCCCUAAAGCACCUCUGGAUUUCCCAUUGUUCGGAGCUCACAUCCUUAUCACCAAGUGCCAAAUUACCAGCCAGGCUUGAAUACCUCCAAGUCUGGAAUUGUUCAGGUCUUACUUCCUUGUCGUCCGGAGAUAAUUUACCAGCCAGUCUUAAACACCUAGAGAUUUGGUAUUGCUCAAGGUUGGAGUCGAUAGCUGAGAGGUUUGACAACAAUGCAUCUCUUGAAAGGAUUUCAAUUAGAAAUUGUGAUAAUCUUAAAUCUUUGCCUAGCAACUUGCACAAGCUUAUCAAUCUCCAUUAUAUAAGUUUAUCCGGUUGGCCAAGUCUUGUUUCUUUCCAAUGGCAAGUGUUGCCUGCCACCUACUCAGAAGAGCAUCAGGUGGAAAGAGAGAAGAAAUUUGAGGGCCUUCUAGAUGGGAUACACGAGCUUACCUCUCUUCACGCAUUGCUGUUAAAUAAUUGUCCAGGCAUAGUAUCCUUUCCAGAAGGAGGUCUUCCCACCAACUUGACAUCACUUUAUAUUUGUCAUCUCAAGAUCUGUAAACCAUUGUUUGAAUGGGGUUUGCACAGACUCACAUCUCUUACAGAACUUCAUAUUCUUGAAUGUUCUGAUGUGGUGUCCUUUCCUGAUGAUGAGAUAGCAAUGAUGUUGCCUACUUCUCUUACCCACCUGUCCCUUGGAGAAUUUGCAAAUCUGGGAUACCUCUCCACCAAGGGGUUUGAAAACCUUGCCUCACUUGAAUAUCUCUGUGUCUAUGAUUGCCCCAAGCUUGCCUUCCUUCCAAAGAAUGGUCUCCCUUCCUCACUUAUGAAACUGUAUAUCAAUAAUUGUCCUCUGUUAAAAGAGAGGUGCCAGAAUGGCAACAGACCAGAGUGGUUCAAGAUAGCCAACAUUCCCCACAUCAAGAUGGAUAAUAGAUCGUAGAUGUCUUUCACACUGUGCUGUAUGCAGAAAAUGGCCCUGAACUGAAGAAGAAAAUAGUAGUGAACCUGUGGACAGAGAAUGGAAGAAUUAUAUCUGGUAUUGGUUUCAGUCUAGGCCAGGGACCGACUUUGAUGGAAGCAAAAGGAAUAGUGAUGGAGGUUUCUCAGUUUUCCUUUCAUUUUCAAAUUUGCAAGCUUUUCAUACCUCGUAUGGUGGUUCACUUUUCAAAAUUACAAUCUGGGCCAAACUGAUCAGUAAAACUAGUUUGAGAAGCUGUCAGGUCAUCAGGGACUGACUUAAGUUGCAGGAUAGGGACAGAGAAGCUGGUUAUAUCAUUCUUUUUUAAAGAAUCAAAGAAGGGGAAUUGCUGAUUCUUCAAAGCUUCCUAUCUUACCUGUCUGCUGGAUAUCUUCAGUGGGAGAGGAAUCUAGAUAAACUUUUCUCUGAAGGUCCCAAGUCUCAAAUCUUUUGAAUGUUUAACCAGAGGAUACACCCUAGUGAAAGUAGAAGAUGCAUUUCCUGCCUCUACAGCUAAAGCUGUGCUCUGAUGGAACAAUCAACAUAAGAAGCAGAAACAAAGAUUGGAAGCCCAUAAGAAUUGCAGCAACAUAUUUGAUACAGACAUAUUGAAGGACUGACAAAGGGGGGCAUUUGGAGAACAUUUGCUGUGCGUGAAAGACUGGUUGCUUCUAUGGCCUAAGUUUCUCUACCCUUUUGCCUCUCUUCUAUCUUCUGUGAUUAUUGAAAGGAAACCUUUCCUAUUUUUACAGUGCUGUAUACUAAGAUUUCUUGUAAGAUAAUAUGAAGUCCUGGUUAAACAUGCUGCAAUUAGCAACUAGUCAACUUAUUCCUUUGUAUUUCAAGAGGAAAUGUACUUCUGUUCUUUUGCCUUUUGCUGUCCUGCUUUGUUUUCAGCAACCAAUGUAUUUACAUAAAUAAUCUAUCUAUA